UAUAAUUCAGACUGGUGUUCCAAUUGACUUAAGAGGGUUUAAUACCAGCUACCUCGUUCUACAAGCUAUGGCCAUGUGGGGGAAUGACAGACGACUGAAAUUUGUUGGGGAUGCAAAGACUCUUCGAAGAAACUUUGUGAUUGAUCUUUUAAGUUAUGAGGACAAUUCGUGCCGAUAUGCCAUCCCUGCAAACAUACAACAAAGACUUGUCGAUAUCGCUAAAAAGGAUUAGCUUAUUAGUGAACAGUUGUUGACACAUUUGUCUGUAACUAAAAU